CCAGGUUUUAAAAGUCUGCCUCAGUUAAUGUGGUUGCAAUUAAGGAAUCGCAUGAUGGUUUUUGCAAGUCUUAAUGGUGAAAAAUUAAAAGCAGCAAAGCUUCAAAUGGAUCCACAAUGAAAGCAUGUUUUAAAGCCUCUGGAGGAGACAAGUGCUGUUCAGAGCAUUUUAAGCCCUUCGUCUUUCACCACAGACACCAGCAGACCUGACGGGACGCUGCAGAGGCAGCAGCUGCAGUGAGCAGGCAUGAUGAAAGCACCAGGCCGUGAAGCCCCAUUAGGAAAAGAUUUAAGUGGCAUAUUUACAUCCUGUCCGCAUGGGAACUUGAUAAACAGCUCCAGCAAAUUGGAUGGGAAUGCAGAGGAAAAGAAGAUCUUCACGAGGAUUUCUACAAUCAGCCUUGGCAUCAGCACCCAGCGGCCUCAUUGGCCCUGUGAUUUUUGCUGCCUUCCUUCAGUUGCUCUACUUGACAGCAAAGACUGCUCACAGCCCAGCUGAAUUCCCUAAACUCUGAUUGUCUAUCAGACCAAAAGAUGACAAAUGAGGUUUUCACGCUCAUUGAUGAGCACAUCACGAAAAUGACAUAAUGGUGUAAUUUUUUUGCCCGAAGACAAGGAACAAGAUGUACUGGAAAUCAUUGUGUUUCAUGUUUUUGUUCCCUUCCCACCUUCAUCUGACCACAGUUGUCACUCAGAACUCUUAGAGAGGAGCAGAAACGGCUGCCGUCCUUUGAGUGGCUGUCUGGGUGUGUGUCCAGGUCAAGGUCACACUUAUCAGUGCCCAGGACAUGCUUUUCGUACUGGGAGGGGUUAUCCCAGGAACAUUUUACAGGCUGUUAACUGACAGCCUUAAAAUUGGAUGUGACACCCUGAAUAACACCUUUUGGGGGAGAAAACUUGACAGACACCCAUCUAGAGAAAUAACGACCUAUUUAUGUCCCACCUAAACAAUACUUGAGCAGUACACGAGUUCUUGAAGAGAAGAGUUUGAAGAACUUUGUGAUACUGCUCUUGAGCCACUUUUGACAAUGAGCCCAAAUGAACUUGUUCAGUUAUUCAGGUUGGAGUUAGUAUCCAGGUGAACAGUUUGGUGUAGGGUUUUGUUUUUUUUAGUCUUAUGAAAAGUCAUUCAGUGUCACCCACUGACCCACUGGCUCAGCCUAGACCCACACACAGGUUCAGCUUGAAAGUCCUGACUUCUGCCCCAUGGGUGGGGCAGGGUUCCCAGAGAGCUGGUGCUUCCAUCAGACAGAUGGCCUGUGAUGAGUCUACAGGGCUUCCAAACUACAACCAGAAAGUUUGCUGUUUUCUCUAAAGGGUGCUUUAUAGAAUUUUAUUUUAAACAAGAUUCUAAAUUCAGGAGGUUAAGCCAAAAAUGGGCAUGAUGGAAAUUACCAUUCAAAUAUGCAUAGUUUUUUCCCCUUUAUUAGUACAGGCCACCAUUUCUUUGGUUUAGUAUAAGCUAACUCAGUGAGCUUGUGUUCUGUUGGCUGCCAUUU
rnacentral:lncRNA from 1 species